rnacentral:rRNA from 1 species
GAUGAACGCUGGCGGCGUGCCUAAUACAUGCAAGUCGAGCGAACGGACGAGAAGCUUGCUUCUCUGAUGUUAGCGGCGGACGGGUGAGUAACACGUGGAUAACCUACCUAUAAGACUGGGAUAACUUCGGGAAACCGGAGCUAAUACCGGAUGAUAUUUUGAACCGCAUGGUUCAAAAGUGAAAGACGGUCUUGCUGUCACUUAUAGAUGGAUCCGCGCUGCAUUAGCUAGUUGGUAAGGUAACGGCUUACCAAGGCAACGAUGCAUAGCCGACCUGUGAGAGUGAUCGGCCACACUGGAACUGAGACACGGUCCAGACUCCUACGGGAGGCAGCAGUAGGGUAUCUUCCGCAAUGGGCGAAAGCCUGACGGAGCAACGCCACGUGAGUGAUGAAGGUCUUCGGAUCGUAAAACUCUGUUAUUAGGGAAGAACAUAUGUGUAAGUAACUGUGCACAUCUUGACGGUACCUAAUAAGAAAGCCACGGCUAACUACGUG